UGACAGGGAAGACUCGGCCUGGUGGCUCCGCUGAGCUGUGAGGCAGACAGGGUGAAGCUAGGAAUGGAUACCUCUCAUUCAUUCAUGUCGCACCCUGGCCUCACUUCAUCUGCUCGCCUGGCUGGUGAGGCAGGACCUCGUACCAUCUGCAACCAGUAAAGCCCUAGUGAAGGGACAGAGAGGGAAAGCCAUCUGCUGAGGUCACACAGCUGGCACACAGCACGCAGCGAGGAACCCGAGGCUCCAAGUGGGGAGAGGACCCAGGACUGGCAGCUCCCUCAGCCUGAAGCAAAGCAGAAGGUCCAGGAUGGAGGCAGCCAUCCCUUCUCCUCCAGCAGGCGGCCAAAGUCCUUCCUGGGAACCGAGACCACACACCCAGUCUCAGGGUCAGAGAGACAACAAAGACUAGGAGAUCCGGAGGAAAAGGGACAGAAGGCCUGUGCGGCAGCUGGCGAACGCCUGUAAUCCUGCACUCUGGAAGGCUGAGGCAGGCAGAUGGCAUGUUCGAGCCCAGCCUCAGCAACUUAGCAAGACCCUGGCUCAAAAUAAAAAAUAAAAAAGGAGCUUGGGUUGUAGCUCAGUGCGAAGGCCCUGGGUUCGAACUCCAGUGCUACAAAAAGGGGGUCUGUCUGGAAACGGAGAGGGAAGUUGAGGACCUAAGGACAGAGUGGCAGAGACCAAGGGACACCCAGACAGGA
ensembl:lncRNA